rnacentral:rRNA from 1 species
UACGUAGGGGGCGAGCGUUGUUCGGAAUUACUGGGCGUAAAGGGCGUGUAGGCGGUGCGGUAAGUCGGGCGUGAAAUCCCCGGGCUUAACCCGGGGCGGUCGUUUCGAAACUGCCGUGCUAGAGUGCAGGAGAGGGAAGUGGAAUUCCCGGUGUAGCGGUGAAAUGCGUAGAUAUCGGGAGGAACAUCAGUGGCGAAAGCGACUUCCUGGACCAGUACCGACGUUCAGGCACGAAAGCGUGGGGAGCAAACAGG